rnacentral:rRNA from 1 species
UCGGGAAUUUUGGGCAAUGGGGGAAACCCUGACCCAGCAACGCCGCGUGAAGGAUGAAGUAUUUCGGUAUGUAAACUUCGAAAGAAUAGGAAGAAUAAAUGACGGUACUAUUUAUAAGGUCCGGCUAACUACGUGCCAGCAGCCGCGGUAAUACGUAGGGACCAAGCGUUGUUCGGAUUUACUGGGCGUAAAGGGCGCGUAGGCGGCAUGACAAGUCACUUGUGAAAUCUCUGGGCUUAACCCAGAACGGCCAAGUGAUACUGUCGCGCUAGAGUGCAGAAGGGGCAAUCGGAAUUCUUGGUGUAGCGGUGAAAUGCGUAGAUAUCAAGAGGAACACCUGAGGUGAAGACGGGUUGCUGGGCUGACACUGACGCUGAGGCGCGAAAGCCAGGGGAGCAAACGGGAUUAGAUACCCUGGUAGUCCCUGAGCGGGCUGGCAAGGCG